GUGUGUGUGUGUGUGUGUGGUCUUCAAUCCUUUUAGUGAAAGAGAGGUUUUCCAUCCCUGUGGACAACAUCUUAUCAGUGGAGGAUGAGACUGGCACAGAAGUGGACAACUACGCAUUUCCAGAUCUACUGACUACCAGUGGAAUAUGCUUUGUCAUCAAAGAUUAACUGAAUGACAAUGGUGAGCCAUCCCCAUCCUCUGCUUCAGGCACAGAUACUAUUUCAGUCACUUCGAAAAGCAGCAGUGAAAACGAUUUCUACAGUGGCACUCUGAAACGCUUCAGAAAAGAGGAGGAGGCUUUGCAGGGUCCACAAGCCAAAAAUGAGAAUCCCUCAGCGACUGACCAAAGAGAAGUAUGCACUGGGGAUUGUUACCCUGUUUCCCUCGCUCAAAGAUCCACAUGGGAAGACAGGAUAUGAGCAUUUUUAUGACGGUCAGAAAGGAGGUGGGUCCUUUCAGUAUUCCCGCGGCUGCUGGACAAUAUUACAUUGAUUCUCCAAGACUUCAGUCUCCUCUUUGGGUCAGAAACUCCAUCCAAACUACUGGAAAAGUGGCCAACCUCCUUCAAAGCAAAGGUCAUCCAACAGGCAGAAAUGCUGACUUCCACACCCUUGCUGAAGCGCUUGUUGUUGUCUGCCAAGAACCAAAGGGCUGAUGAACCAUCACUGGAAUCACCAGAGUGGGACAGUGAUAUGGCAUCCAUCCUGCUCCUUCUGCACCUCCUGUCACCCCAGCCUGCGGGAAGGAAGAAAACCCAGAAGAUCAGUGUAGCUCAGGCCAUUGACCAUCUGGUCGUAUUUCACAAGUCCUGUAGGAGUCUGGAUGAGCACCUUCAGAGCCAUAUCGACACGAGCCAACCAUAUCUUCUUGCUUCAGGGGCCAUCGGCAACUUCUUUAUUCUGAUCGACAAGAAGCUCAUCCCCUGUGAGGCUACCACUUCCUUAGCAGCAAUUGAUGAACUUUUUAAGCUUCACUUUGUCUUAGGCACUAGCUAUGAUCCAGCACUCAAAAGCAUGUACACAUUUCUGCAAGCAACUGUCUAUAACAUAGAUUUUUUUUUUUACUGAAGCACUGGGUGUGAGUGUGUGUGUGGUCCAAACAUGUUGUUUGUUGCCUGGCACGGCAGGCAACAAACAACAUUUUUGGACCUCAACUGCCACAGAGGGUUAUUUAUAUACAUUUUUGCUGUUGAACAAUAUUGAAUGUUGGUUGAAUUGAAUAUUGGGAGAAUUUCUCAGUCUUAAGAGACAUGCCACCAUUCAAAUAAAGCACUUGUCAUAUGCUGAUAUCUGGAAUGAUUUAUUGGUCAUUGUAACUUUUAACACCAGUUUGUUGUACAUCAUAAUACCAAUACACGACAUUUGACACUAGAUUAGUGUUCAUUUUGAACUCCCAGAGGGUUGAGGCUAAUGCAAAAUGCAACACCAGUAUAUGUAAAUGCAAUAUACUGUAGUGUAUGUUGUCUUCAGUACCAUACAGUAACUAUGUUCAUGUCAUCUUCACUCUCAGUAAAGUCAUUGUGUCUGAUACUGUUAUGAGUAUUGAGAAUAAACCUAUUUGUGUGUUUCCACAUUGCAUGUGUUCAUUCAUAGUCCAUAUUUACAGCGUGCUACAAAUGAAAAUGCCUAAAACUUUGACUUGAAUGUCUUGUUUAUUAAUCAACUAAUGGACAAUGUUUCAAUUCAGUUCAUGUAAGCCUACACACACAUUCCUCUUUUGAGCGUCGAGUGAUUAUGGCCUGCAUGUCUUUCUGUUCUAACUCAGCUGUCAGCUCCUUACUGUCCUAAUGUGCACAAUGUAGUGACUGUUUUUUUGUCUUUUGUUUUCUUAGUUAUGUUCUCUGUAUUUUAUAUGUUUGUGUUAUGUGUAACGUUGCUGCCUUC